rnacentral:rRNA from 1 species
GAUUAACGCUGGCGGCGUGCCUAACACAUGCAAGUCGAGCGGCAGCGAGUUUUACACUGCAUUCUGGAAGCUUCUAGUUGAAAGUGAAGAUUUAUUCAAGAAUUUUGUGUAAAAUGUCGGCGAGCGGCGGACGGCUGAGUAACGCGUGGGAACGUACCCCAAAGUGCGGGAUACCGCAUCGAAAGGCGUUCUAAUACCGCAUAUGGUCUUCGGAUUAAAGCCUUCGGGCGCUUUGGGAACGGCCUGCGUACGAUUAGAUAGUUGGUGGGGUAAUGGCCUACCAAGUCGACGAUCUUUACCUUGUCUGAGAGGAAGAUCAGUCAGACUGGAGCUAGGACACGGUCCAGACUCCUACGGGAGGCAGCAGUGAGGAAUCUUCCAAAAUGGGCGAAAGCCUGAUGGUGCAACGCCGGGUGCAGGAUGAAGGCCUUCGAGUUGUAAACUGCUUGUAUAAGUGAAGAUUAUGACAGUAACUUAUGAAUAAGGCACGGCUAACUACGUG